UUGGUCUUUCGUAUAAUCGGUUAUUACGGCGGACUGUUAAUCCGUUUAUCCGGGUUCGAGUCCCGGAGGACCAGCCAA
rnacentral:tRNA from 1 species